UACGGAGGGGACUAGCGUUGUUCGGAAUUACUGGGCGUAAAGCGCGCGUAGGCGGAUUUGCAAGUCGGGGGUGAAAGCCCGAGGCUCAACCUCGGAACUGCCUUCGAUACUGCAAAUCUCGAGUCUGAGAGAGGUGAGUGGAAUUCCUAGUGUAGAGGUGAAAUUCGUAGAUAUUAGGAAGACCACCAGUGGCGAAGGCGGCUUGCCAGAACGCGCUCGACGGUGAGGGAUGAAAGCUGGGGGAGCAAACCGG
rnacentral:rRNA from 1 species